rnacentral:sRNA from 1 species
UACUUGCGUUAGGGAUUGCAGUGUAAAACCCAUAGCGUGGCCGAUGGUAAUCGGUGGCGCGAGGAUUUGCAACGUAAAGCUCGACCCUUG